rnacentral:rRNA from 1 species
GACGUAGGGGGCCAGCGUUGUUCGGAAUUACUGGGUGUAAAGGGUGCGUAGGCGGUUGUUUAAGUUUGGUGUGAAAUCUCCCGGCUCAACCGGGAGGGUGCGCCGAAUACUGAAUGACUCGAGUGCGGGAGAGGAGAGUGGAAUUCCUGGUGUAGCGGUGAAAUGCGUGGAUAUACGUCAAGAACACCAGUGGCGAAGGCGGCUCACUGGCCCGAUACUGACGCUGAGGCACGAAAGCGUGGGGAGCAAACAGGG